GUGGAUUAGAUACCCUGGUAGUCCACGCCGUAAACGAUGGAUGCUAGUCGUCGCGGGUAUUGACCCCUGCGGCAACGCAGUUAACGCAUUAAGCAUCCCGCCUGGGGAGUACGGCCGCAAGGCUAAAACUCAAAGGAAUUGACGGGGGCCCGCACAAGCGGUGGAGCAUGUGGUUCAAUUCGACGCAACGCGCAGAACCUUACCUGGGUUAAAUCCACCGGAAGCCCGCAGAGAUGUGGGGGUGCCCGCAAGGGAGCCGGUGAGAAGGUGCUGCACGGCUGUCGUCAACU
rnacentral:rRNA from 1 species